rnacentral:misc_RNA from 1 species
GUGGAAUUAGCAACUUUUGUCAGGGUUUUGAGAUCAUAGGCAAUCCAGCACCUGGAUGACUUGGUGUGGUAGAAAUAACCCAAACACUUGCAAUCCUUGGUGCAUUUGCUGCUACAAGCAUCCUGCUUCAUGGGUCCAUCUCCAUUUGUGUACUUGGAAUUGAAGUGAUCAACCCCUUCUAGUUUGUAGUAGUAAAAAUCUUUCACUCCACAUGAUACCUUUGCUGCCUGGCAAUUCUUGCUCCAGCCCAGCAAGCCCUUUGGUGAUGGACAAGCAACACAUUGGUCAUCCUGGCAGAGACCAAAGUUCCCACACCUUUCAGGCAAUUGGCAUUCAGUUUCCCAAGAGUCUCCGGAAAACAGAGUGUAGGUCACUUGCCAAGCACUCCAAUCUGCAUUAUCUUCGUAAGUGUAGAUUCUAAGGUUUCCAUCAAUUUCCAAGCGAAGAUAUGACAAAGUUGUGUUGUAUUUAGGCCUUCUCAGGGUGAGAGUUCCACCAUAAGAGGAAUUAGGACCCUGGAAUGCCAAAGAUAAUUCUGAGCCAAAUGUUACACGAUUCAAAGGACCCUUCAAUACACUGAAUAAUUCAGAAAAUGAGAAGUAAAGCAAUGAUUUUGGGGAUUUUGGGCUUUUAUAAUACAUGGCCAGAGUCUUGUCCUCCAUGACCAAACUAUAAGGACCAUCGGAGUUCUGUUUUUCAGAAGCUCGACUCACAAGCUUGGUUGCAGCCCCAAGCUUGAGAGACUGACCCACUAAAAGGGUAUCAGUUGGGUGAUCAAAACUCUGCCAAAUAAACCUACCCUUAGAAUCAUGGAGAACCAUGUUACCAUUCGAGAGUAACUUGAACCCAACAACACCUUUAUUGGCAGUGUUGGUUUGCCAAGCAAUCCGGCCAUUAGCAUCUGCCAAGACAAGGUUUCCUUCAGUUCCAAAGAUGAGGGUGGCCUUUUCGCCAACUGGGU